rnacentral:hammerhead_ribozyme from 1 species
AUCCGGCUGACGAGUCCAAAUAAGGACGAAACGCACAUCCUGGAU